GACGAACGCUGGCGGCGUGCUUAACACAUGCAAGUCGAACGGAAAGGCCCUGCUUUUGUGGGGUGCUCGAGUGGCGAACGGGUGAGUAACACGUGAGUAACCUGCCCUUGACUUUGGGAUAACUUCAGGAAACUGGGGCUAAUACCGGAUAGGAGCUCCUGCUGCAUGGUGGGGGUUGGAAAGUUUCGGCGGUUGGGGAUGGACUCGCGGCUUAUCAGCUUGUUGGUGGGGUAGUGGCUUACCAAGGCUUUGACGGGUAGCCGGCCUGAGAGGGUGACCGGCCGCAUUGGGACUGAGAUACGGCCCAGACUCCUACGGGAGGCAGCAGUGGGGAAUAUUGCACAAUGGGCGGAAGCCUGAUGCAACAACGCCGCGUGCGGGAUGACGGCCUUCGGGUUGUAAACCGCUUUCGCCUGUGACGAAGCGUGAGUGACGGUAAUGGGUAAAGAAGCACCGGCUAACUACGUG
rnacentral:rRNA from 1 species